rnacentral:rRNA from 1 species
GAUGAACGCUAGCUACAGGCUUAACACAUGCAAGUCGCGGGGCAGCAUGGGGGUUGCUUGCAAUCCCCGAUGGCGACCGGCGCACGGGUGAGUAACGCGUAUCCAACCUGCCCUUCACCACGGGAUAACCCGGCGAAAGUCGGACUAAUACCGUAUGUUGGCCAUUGACGGCAUCCGAUUUGGACGAAGGGGUUGGCGGUGAAGGCGGGGGAUGCGUCCGAUUAGCUGGACGGCGGGGUGGCGGCCCACCGGGGCGACGAUCGGUAGGGGUUCUGAGAGGAAGGUCCCCCACACUGGAACUGGGACACGGGCCAGACUCCUACGGGAGGCAGCAGUGAGGAAUAUUGGUCAAUGGGCGUAAGCCUGAACCAGCCAAGUAGCGUGCAGGAUGACGGCCCUAUGGGUUGUAAACUGCUUUUAUGCGGGGAUAAAGUGGCGCACGUGUGGGUUUUUGCAGGUACCGCAUGAAUAAGGACCGGCUAAUUCCGUG